AGCGAACGCUGGCGGCAGGCUUAACACAUGCAAGUCGAACGCCCCGCAAGGGGAGUGGCAGACGGGUGAGUAACACGUGGGAACGUACCCUUUGGUUCGGAAUAACUUGGGGAAACUCAAGCUAAUACCGGAUAAGCCCUUAUGGGGAAGGGUUUACUGCCGAAGGAUCGGCCCGCGUCUGAUUAGCUAGUUGGUGAGGUAAUGGCUCACCAAGGCGACGAUCAGUAGCUGGUCUGAGAGGAUGAUCAGCCACACUGGGACUGAGACACGGCCCAGACUCCUACGGGAUGCAGCAGUGGGGAAUACUGGACAAUGGGGGCAACCCUCGACCAGCCAUUCCGCGUGAGUGAUGUAGGCCUUAGGGUUGUAAAGCUCUUUUACCCGUCACGAUAAUGACUGUACGGGGAGAAUAAGCCCCGGCUAACUUCGUGCCAGCAGCCGUACUAA
rnacentral:rRNA from 1 species